UACGGGGGGGGCAAGCGUUGUUCGGAAUUACUGGGCGUAAAGGGCUCGUAGGUGGCCAACUAAGUCAGACGUGAAAUCCCCAGGCUCAACUUGGGAACUGCGUCUGAUACUGGAAGGCUUGAGUUCGGGAGAGGGAUGUGGAAUUCCAGGUGUAGCGGUGAAAUGCGUAGAUAUCUGGAGGAACACCGGUGGCGAAGGCGGCAUCCUGGACCGAAACUGACACUGAGGCGCGAAAGCCAGGGGAGCAAACGGG
rnacentral:rRNA from 1 species